rnacentral:snRNA from 1 species
AUCACUUCUCGGCCUUUUGGCUGAGAUCAAGUGUAGUACAGGCAACCAAACCAAUCAUUUAUAAUGUUGAACUCUAUCAUCUACUUUUAUUUUAAGAUUUUAUUUAUUUAUUUGAGAGAGAGAGAUU